AUUGAACGCUGGCGGCAUGCCUUACACAUGCAAGUCGAACGGCAGCACGGGAGCAAUCCUGGUGGCGAGUGGCGAACGGGUGAGUAAUAUAUCGGAACGUGCCCGGUCGUGGGGAUAACGUAGCGAAAGCUACGCUAAUACCGCAUACGAUCUACGGAUGAAAGCGGGGGGAUCGCAAGACCUCGCGCGAUUGGAGCGGCCGAUAUCAGAUUAGGUAGUUGGUGAGGUAAAGGCUCACCAAGCCGACGAUCUGUAGCUGGUCUGAGAGGACGACCAGCCACACUGGGACUGAGACACGGCCCAGACUCCUACGGGAGGCAGCAGUGGGGAAUUUUGGACAAUGGGCGCAAGCCUGAUCUAGCAAUGCCGCGUGCAGGAUGAAGGCC
rnacentral:rRNA from 1 species